rnacentral:sRNA from 1 species
CGACUUUAUGUGUUUGGUAUCGUGAGAGAAAAAUCUCCAUACCAAUUCCUCCCUGCCAGCAAUGCCUAAAACACUGUUAUCUCUGGAGCGAUCAGCAGGAGAUAACAUUCCCACGGAAACAUCCCGCUAGCAAAGAGGUUCUUUUCCAGUUAAUUUAUUAUAUACUAUUACCAUAUAUCAUCAGCGUUGGUAUCGUCCAUAUAUAGAAACGACAUAUUCUGCAGGAACUGCAAUUCCACGUCUGCGUCUUGUGUUGCCUGAACAAAAGAACGAAAAUUCAGAUUCGAGACUCUCUCUCUCGGGAAGCAAGCUGGGAUAUAUAAUAAUAUCUCAUAAUAAGGUGAGGGAACAAUGAAAGGGAAGUGAUACUUUAAACAUAGGAACAUGGAAGACAAGGGCAGUGAGCAGCAACCAUCCCUGAGGCAAUACAGGUAAAAUCGAAAACUGAGCCUUUCCGGAAAAAAAAAAGAGCAUCCACUACAUGGAAAAUCUUGACUCCUCGCGAUUGGAGGGUAUAUACACAGACUCAGAGAGAAACGUGAAAACCGGAAUGACGAAAUAAUCGAAAGAGAGAAAAGCAUUAAGCAUUCGACAAAAGGAGAACAAGAGGAAGAAUCGAUGAAAAUAAAACGCGGGAAAAAAAAACCAAAGAAAAAGAAAAAAGAAAUCGAACAAAAACGCCCCCAUCAUGACCAUUGCCUCCCAACCCAAUCCCAAUGGACUAGGACCAGCCAUAAAACCAUUUAAAGGCAGAAGAACAACACGAAGGAGGAAAAAAAAAGGAUACAAAUCGAGCCGGGCCCCCACUUAGUCCUCCCGCUGCAACAUAUUGACCUCUUGAUAGAGGUGCACCGGAUCAUCGAAAACCCUCCACACAUCAUCCGGGACGCCGUCAAACGCUUUAAGAAAGCGCUUCUCCUUGUUCUUCUCCUCCAUAUUAGCCACGUCAGUGACUCGCCGGAUAUAUAUGGCGCGCACCCACUGUUUAUGCCUGCGAUAUAUCUCUGCAUAUGCCUCCGGGUCACUCUGCGUCGAGUCGCCGAUGCAGAUGACCCUCCGCUUUGGGAACCAGCGGUACAGCUUCUCCAUGCGAUCGACUUUAUACGCUUGAGUCCCUUUCGUGAACGAUUUCAGGAGCCCGCUCAGGUCCAUCCAGGAGUGGUUGCGCAGGAUGAGUGUUCCGGGGGGAUACUCUUGGCGGAGGAAAGAUCGGAGGAAAGGGUAGAGAUUGUACGGUGAGGAGGAGAGGUAGAACCACGUUGGCGCGAUUUCUUUGUCGAUGUGUUCGUAGAGACGGGGCAUGCCGGCAAUAACUCGUGGUUCCUCAGCAAAGGUGGUGCGCAGAAUGCCGACAGCGUCGCUGGUCUGGGUGUAUUUGAUGGUGUCGUCCACAUCGGAGAUCAUCAGCCAGCCGGUCGGGGAUGCGAACUCAGUAUCCAUAGAUACCUUAUGGGUCCAGUGUCUUAAGGAAGGACGGAUGACGGUUCCAUCUCCGAUGUCUGCCCCGUCCAUCCGGGCUGUCUGUGAAAUGAUGCCGUCACUGUUGGACGGCUUUAGCUUGCGCUUGACGACGUUGUGGCGCGUAAUUGGUAUAUCCAAACUUAUUGAGCGGGCUGGGGCGAUAGAAUCGACGAACGGCUGAACUCGUUGAGUCAUGCGAUCGCGAACUACCUUGUUAUUGAGACCAAAUUCCCCAUCGAGACCGAUGGCGUCCGCAAUGGUUGCGACGAAUUUGCCGACCUCCUCACGGCCGCGCUUGAUGAAGAUGCAUGCGACUAUCUCAACCUCCCAUGACAUAUUUUUGUUGUUGAAUCUGCCGCCAGGUGCCCGGUAGGCAGUGUUAUCGAGAAGCCAUACUCUGUGCUCCUCGGGGUUCGCGGGGUUGGCUAGCGGGUUUCUUUUCCCCAGCAGCGAUGCGACGAUUCCCAAGAAAGGUGUCAAAUGCACAGAAGAAUGAAUGGCGAGGCCAUUCUCGACACGGUCGAAGUCGCCUUGGGAUCUAGUUUCUUGUUCUUGCUGCGUUUCAUGGGCCCGUCGUCCCGGAGUAGGAAGCAUAGUUGAAGGUAAGGAGGGCUGAGACAGCUCUAGCCAGGGGGAGAGAGAGGGUUAGUGGGAAGUAAACUUAUGUUUACGGCGCAAGAACUAUUGGAUCAAGUAAUGAGCGUACAGACGAGAACAAGAGAGAGAGUAGAGGUAGCAGUUGGCAGCAGUUGGGAUAGAAGUUUUUCCUGGUGCAUUCUAGUAUUGGCCAACCAGGGAGAAAUCAGGACACGCGGACAUGUUGGAAGGGGAAAAAAGAAUAAAAAAGAAUCCAACAAGUGGGUAUUUAUUAAGGGCGGCCAACAAGAAGCCAUGUGAGGUGAAUCACCUUCCUCCAGAGCACGGUCUGAUCAGCAGCUGGCAGCUGGGGAAGCCACCGCCGCAAUCGAUCAUCUUGAACAAAGCGGGCUGUCCUGGUUGGCAGGGAGGCGGCGCCAGCCAAGGGGCCAGCGAGGCUUGGGGCUGUCUGGCGCGGGACAGCCCAUCUGGCGGCGGCAGCCUGAUGGUCCCAGAGGAGGAGAGUGUUCCUGGGUGAGGGCAAGAUCAGAGGGACUGUGCAUCGCAUCCGCAGGCUGUAUGUAGGCUGUAGCUGUAAGCGGUGGGCUGUUGACUGUUGAGGUGAGACGAACGAGACAAGGGUGGAGGCGGCUAUUCUUAGCAACACCAUCAUCAGUGAUUGUUAUUUAAUAACCAGAAGGCUCAUCGUAAGCCUCCCAUUGUCACCACCGCUAUUGAUCCUCGUCCUCUGCCUUGGCCUUGUCAGUUCUAUUCCGGGUGUCAGCUGG